UACAGAGGUCCCAAGCGUUGUUCGGAUUCACUGGGCGUAAAGGGUGCGUAGGUGGCGAGGUAAGUCGGAUGUGAAAGCUCGGAGCUCAACUCCGAAAUGGCAUUGGAAACUACCUUGCUCGAGGGUUGGAAGGGGGACUGGAAUACUUGGUGUAGCAGUGAAAUGCGUAGAUAUCAAGUGGGACACCAGUGGCGAAGGCGAGUCCCUGGACAACUCCUGACACUGAGGCACGAAAGCUAGGGGAGCAAACAGG
rnacentral:rRNA from 1 species